rnacentral:rRNA from 1 species
GACAGAGGAGCCAAGCGUUGUCCGGAUUGACUGGGCGUAAAGCGCACGCAGGUGGUGGGGCAAGUGCCGUGUGAAAGCCGGUGGCUUAACUGCCGGAGGCCAUGGCAGACUGCCUGACUUGAGCCCGAGAGAGGUCCGUGGAAUUGCCGGUGUAGUGGUGAAAUGCGUAGAUAUCGGGAGGAACACCAGUGGCGAAGGCGACUACCUGGCCUGUUCUUGACGCUGAGGCGCGAAAGCUAGGGGAGCAAACGGG